rnacentral:rRNA from 1 species
UAAGACAGAGGUGCCAAGCGUUAGGCGGAAUCACUGGGCUUAAAGCGUGUGUAGGCGGAUCGUUAAGUGCCUUGUGAAAUCCCACGGCUCAACCGUGGAACUGCUGGGCAUACUGGCGGUCUUGAGCAACCUAGGGGCGAGCGGAACAAAUGGUGGAGCGGUGAAAUGCGUAGAUAUCAUUUGGAACGCCAAUGGUGAAAACAGCUCGCUGGGGGUUUGCUGACGCUGAGACACGAAAGCCAGGGGAGCGAACGGGAUUAGAUACCCCGGUAGUCCUGGCCGUAAACGAUGUCGACUAGAUCGCAGAGCCUCUGACGGCGUUGCGGUCGAAGCAAAAGUGCUAAGUCGACCGCCUGGGAAGUACGGUCGCAAGGCUA